UACGAAGGGUGCAAACGUUGCUCGGAAUUAUUGGGCGUAAAGCGCACGUAGGCGGCUUAGCAAGUCGGAUGUGAAAUCCCUCGGCUCAACCAAGGAAGUGCAUCCGAAACUGCUGAGCUUGAGUACUUAAGAGGAUCGCGGAAUUCCCGGUGUAGAGGUGAAAUUCGUAGAUAUCGGGAGGAACACCAGUGGCGAAGGCGGUUGCCUGGAGCUUUGCUGACGCUGAUGCGCGAAAGCGUGGGGAGCGAUCCGG
rnacentral:rRNA from 1 species